CCCGCCCCCGGCCGCAUUUCCCUAUAAUACGCAGUACCCGACCCUGAAGCUUCUGUCCGCCUGCACAAAGCCCUCGGGUUCGGUUCCUGGAGCGGGGUCUGCCCGUGGGUCUGCGAUCCUGUGGAGGGGGACCGAGAGAUUUCAAGCGCUAAAUAAGGGAGGUGAGUGUAAAGGACUCAGAAAGAAUGCGGUGCUGCAGAGGUCACGGUUGAGAGCCGGGCUCUGGGGGUUAGGUUCCCACCGGUCCAAUCUCUGUGUGACCUUGACCAAGCGCCGGGACCCCUCAGAGCCUUCGUUUCUCCCUUGUUAAGCACUGAUGGUACAGCACUAAAAGACACGCUAUUUUUUUUGCUGGAGGAAGCUUACCUCCUAAUUGAAUACUCAUUGGAUACUGAGACAAGAAAACAUACCAGUUCAAUAGUGUUGGGAACUCUGAAGCCUCAAUUUGGAGCGCUCCGCGGCUGCCUUUGCCACCAUGUAGAGAGCCUUUUGGUGGAUGCCGCCAACGUAGAGGAAAAGAGAACUGAAAGAUGGAAGAAGAUCAUAGAUUCCUGGUGACAUCACUGAAGCCCCUGAACCCUGAAGUACCUGAAGGUAGAAAAUCCCCUGGACAUUGCAGUUUUAUGUUUAAGUUUUCUUUUCUGCUUAUGUUACUUGGAGGUGUAUUUCUCACACUUGAAACUGAAAGUGUCCUGAGUAAACAGAAUCGCCAAUGAGAAGGAUGAGGGUGGUCAUUGCUACUGUUCAUGGUGCUCUUUCCUAUAUUGUUUUCAUUUAUUCUUAUAAUAACC